CAACUCUUUCCAUUAGAUAUUUAUAUUCAAUAUUUAUCAAUACAAACAACCCUCUCUUUUGAUUCAAAAAUCAUAUUCAUGUCAUAGUAUAAAUCAAUACAUUUCGUAUCAUGUUUUUCAAGAUGCAUUUCAAAACAAUCCAUAUCAUAUGAAAAAUGGAAUAAAUCAUAUCAAAAGAGGGAUUUCAUGUGAGUCAUGCUCUCAAUUCAAACAUCACAUUAAAACACAUACAUACAUA
rnacentral:lncRNA from 1 species